GCCGCGUGAGGGAUGGAGGCCUUCGGGUUGUGAACCUCUUUCGCCCGUGGUCAAGCCGCGACGUGGGUCGUGGUGAGGGUAGUGGGUAAAGAAGCGCCGGCUAACUACGUGCCAGCAGCCGCGGUAAUACGUAGGGCGCGAGCGUUGUCCGGAAUUAUUGGGCGUAAAGGGCUUGUAGGCGGCUGGUCGCGUCUGCCGUGAAAUCCUCUGGCUCAACUGGGGGCGUGCGGUGGGUACGGGCUGGCUUGAGUGCGGUAGGGGAGGCUGGAACUCCUGGUGUAGCGGUGGAAUGCGCAGAUAUCAGGAAGAACACCGGUGGCGAAGGCGGGUCUCUGGGCCGUUACUGACGCUGAGGAGCGAAAGCGUGGGGAGCGAACAGGAUUAGAUACCCUGGUAGUCCACGCUGUAAACGUUGGGCACUAGGUGUGGGGGCCACCCGUGGUUCCCGCGCCGUAGCUAACGCUUUAAGUGCCCCGCUGGGGAUACGGCGCAAGGCUAAAACUCAAAGGAAUUGACGGGGCCCGCACAAGCGGCGGAGCAUGCGGAUUAAUCGAUGCAACGACG
rnacentral:rRNA from 1 species